UACGGGGGGGGCAAGCGUUGUUCGGAAUUACUGGGCGUAAAGGGCUCGUAGGCGGCCAACUAAGUCAGACGUGAAAUCCUCGGCUUAACCGGGGAACUGCGUCUGAUACCGGAUGGCUUGAGGUUGGGAGAGGGAUGCGGAAUUCCAGGUGUAGCGGUGAAAUGCGUAGAUAUCUGGAGGAACACCGGUGGCGAAGGCGGCAUCCUGGACCAAUUCUGACGCUGAGGAGCGAAAGCCAGGGGAGCAAACGGG
rnacentral:rRNA from 1 species